GACGAACGCUGGCGGCGUGCUUAACACAUGCAAGUCGAACGGUGAAGCGCCUUCCUUUUUGGUGGGUGUGGAUGAGUGGCGAACGAGUGAGUAACACGUGAGUAACCUGCCCCCUUCUUCUGGAUAACCGCAUGAAAGUGUGGCUAAUACGGGACAUUCUGGGUCUGUCGCAUGAUGGGUCUGGGAAAGAUAUUGUUUCGGUGGGGGAUGGGCUCGCGGCCUAUCAGCUUGUUGGUGGGGUGAUGGCCUACCAAGGCGGUGACGGGUAGCCGGCCUGAGAGGGUGGACGGUCACACUGGGACUGAGACACGGCCCAGACUCCUACGAGAGGCAGCAGUGGGGAAUAUUGCACAAUGGGCGCAAGCCUGAUGCAGCGACGCCGCGUGAGGGAUGGAGGCCUUCGGGUUGUGAACCUCUUUCGCCAGUGAAGCAGGCCUGCCUCGUUUGUGGGUGGGUUGACGGUAGCUGGAUAAGAAGCGCCGGCUAACUACGUG
rnacentral:rRNA from 1 species